UACAGAGGUUGCGAGCGUUAAUCGGAAUUACUGGGCGUAAAGCGUGCGUAGACGGUUAUGUAAGUCAGGUGUGAAAGCCCCGGGCUCAACCUGGGAAUUGCAUUUGAGACUGCAUAGCUAGGGUGCGGAAGAGGGAAGCGGAAUUUCCGGUGUAGCGGUGAAAUGCGUAGAUAUCGGAAGGAACACCAGUGGCGAAAGCGGCUUCCUGGUCCAGCACCGACGUUCAGGCACGAAAGCGUGGGGAGCAAACAGG
rnacentral:rRNA from 1 species